GAUGAACGCUGGCGGCGUGCCUAAUACAUGCAAGUCGAGCGAACAGAUGAGGAGCUUGCUCCUCUGACGUUAGCGGCGGACGGGUGAGUAACACGUGGAUAACCUACCUAUAAUACUGGGAUAACUUCGGGAAACCGGAGCUAAUACCGGAUAAUAUAUUGAACCGCAUGGUUCAAUAGUGAAAGACGGUUUUGCUGUCACUUAUAGAUGGAUCCGCGCCGCAUUAGCUAGUUGGUAAGGUAACGGCUUACCAAGGCAACGAUGCGUAGCCGACCGGAGAGGGGGAUCGGCCACACUGGAACUGAGACACGGUCCAGACUCCUACGGGAGGCAGCAGUAGGGAAUAUUCCGCAAUGGGCGAAAGCAUGACGGAGCAACGCCGCGUGAGUGAUGAAGGUCUUCGGAUCGUAAAACUCUGUUAUUAGGGAAGAACAAAUGUGUAAGUAACUAUGCACGUCUUGACGGUACCUAAUCAGAAAGCCACGGCUAACUACGUG
rnacentral:rRNA from 1 species